GUCCCUGUAGUGCACUGCAUAGCACGUUGGACUUCUAAUCCAAAGGUGGUGGGAUCGAAUCCCACCCGGUAUG